rnacentral:rRNA from 1 species
UACGUAGGUGGCAAGCGUUAUCCGGAAUUAUUGGGCGUAAAGAGCGCGCAGGUGGUUAAUUGAGUCUGAUGUGAAAGCCCACGGCUUAACCGUGGAGGGUCAUUGGAAACUGGUGAUCUUGAGUGGGCGAGAAGUAUGCGGAAUGCGUGGUGUAGCGGUGAAAUGCAUAGAUAUCACGCAGAACUCCGAUUGCGAAGGCAGCAUACCGGCGCCCGACUGACGCUGAGGCACGAAAGCGUGGGGAUCGAACAGG